GACGAACGCUGGCGGCGUGCUUAACACAUGCAAGUCGAACGGAAAGGCCUCUUUCGGGGGGUACUCGAGUGGCGAACGGGUGAGUAACACGUGAGUAACCUGCCCUUGACUUUGGGAUAACUUCAGGAAACUGGGGCUAAUACCGGAUAGGAGCUCCUGCUGCAUGGUGGGGGUUGGAAAGUUUCGGCGGUUGGGGAUGGACUCGCGGCUUAUCAGCUUGUUGGUGGGGUAGUGGCUUACCAAGGCUUUGACGGGUAGCCGGCCUGAGAGGGUGACCGGCCACAUUGGGACUGAGAUACGGCCCAGACUCCUACGGGAGGCAGCAGCGGGGAAUAUUGCACAAUGGGUGGAAGCCUGAUGCAGCAACGCCGUGUGCGGGAUGACGGCCUUCGGGUUGUAAACCGCUUUCGCUCAUGACGAAGCUUUGUGUGACGGUAGUGGGUAAAGAAGCACCGGCUAACUACGUG
rnacentral:rRNA from 1 species